AGCCUAUGGUCUUGGAGCGGCACCACUCAAGAAGGAUCUGUUUGAUGCUGCUGGCGCUGGACACCCCAAAACUCUGAGAGCGCUUCAGUUUGGGUUUGGACUCCACCGGUUUGGGACGGCUGUACAGAAGGAGUUGGAAAGCAGGCAACAAAGGGGAAAAAAAACAGAUUGUGAGACAGUCAGC